GAUGAAGAACGUAGCGAAAUGCGAUAAGUAGUGUGAAUUGCAGAAUUCCGUGAAUCAUCGAAUCUUUGAACGCACAUUGCGCCUUCUGGUAUUCCGGAAGGCAUGCCUGUUCGAGAGUCAUUAAUAACCGUUUCGAUCCCUUUCUUUCAGAAAUUACAAAGAGGAAAAGGGUUUGGUUAUGGUGGAGGAGGGAAAGGGAGCGUUUAGCCUGUAAAAAAAGAGGCUGUGUUCCGCCUCCCCCCCAAAAUUGUACAGGCGGUCGCGUGCGCCCACGCAUCGAGGUGUUGUAAAAGCUGCCACGGCACUUUUCACCUGUGCAGUGCGAGAUUGGCCAGCCGGUUUAAAAACCCCUCCAAACAAUCAAAGGUUGACCUCGGAUCAGGUAGGGAUACCCGCUGAACUUAAGCAUAUCAAUAAGCGGAGGA
rnacentral:misc_RNA from 1 species